rnacentral:lncRNA from 12 species
UUGAGUUGUUCCUCCUCAGGCAGAAAAACUCUAAGGAAACUUAAUGGAAAGCUGGCUAGUGUUAGAUUUCCUGUACCUGCUGCUUUGAUACCUGUUCAGAGAUUGUCACUGCUGGCUGUCUCUGCUGCCCUGGGCUGCACAUCAGGGAUGCUCCAACACCUCACAACUGCCUCUGCUGCAGUCUUGGCCCUUUGGAUAAAGACCCCAGAAAGGCUGACUGAGGGCUCAGCUGGGGAUGCCUUUCAUCAUUUGAUGAAGCAGUCUGUUUUCAAGGCUUCAGAACUGUACAACUCCUUGUCAGGCUCUUCUUCCAACAUUGCAUACCAAUGCACAAACGUGCGGAUGUGGUUUUGCUCUCUCCUAAGUGUACUGAAUGAGGACUCAAAUCCAGAAAUCAGGAUUGGUUGUGAUAGAAAUGGUGCCAAUGUGGUGAAGAUCUCCAAGUGGCAAAUACGCCCUGCGUUUGUAGGGAUUAGCAGGCACAGUAAAAUGUGUGUCUAAUGUGUGUCUAAUGAAACUUUUCUGCUUGUUUUAAAUGAAGGAAAUUUC